rnacentral:rRNA from 2 species
GCAGUCGAACGACUCUGGUAUUGAUUGGUGCUUGCAUCAUGAUUUACAUUUGAGUGAGUGGCGAACUGGUGAGUAACACGUGGGAAACCUGCCCAGAAGCGGGGGAUAACACCUGGAAACAGAUGCUAAUACCGCAUAACAACUUGGACCGCAUGGUCCGAGCUUGAAAGAUGGCUUCGGCUAUCACUUUUGGAUGGUCCCGCGGCGUAUUAGCUAGAUGGUGGGGUAACGGCUCACCAUGGCAAUGAUACGUAGCCGACCUGAGAGGGUAAUCGGCCACAUUGGGACUGAGACACGGCCCAAACUCCUACGGGAGGCAGCAGUAGGGAAUCUUCCACAAUGGACGAAAGUCUGAUGGAGCAACGCCGCGUGAGUGAAGAAGGGUUUCGGCUCGUAAAACUCUGUUGUUAAAGAAGAACAUAUCUGAGAGUAACUGUUCAGGUAUUGACGGUAUUUAACCAGAAAGCCACGGCUAACUACGUGCCAGCAGCCGCGGUAAUACGUAGGUGGCAAGCGUUGUCCGGAUUUAUUGGGCGUAAAGCGAGCGCAGGCGGUUUUUUAAGUCUGAUGUGAAAGCCUUCGGCUCAACCGAAGAAGUGCAUCGGAAACUGGGAAACUUGAGUGCAGAAGAGGACAGUGGAACUCCAUGUGUAGCGGUGAAAUGCGUAGAUAUAUGGAAGAACACCAGUGGCGAAGGCGGCUGUCUGGUCUGUAACUGACGCUGAGGCUCGAAAGUAUGGGUAGCAAACAGGAUUAGAUACCCUGGUAGUCCAUACCGUAAACGAUGAAUGCUAAGUGUUGGAGGGUUUCCGCCCUUCAGUGCUGCAGCUAACGCAUUAAGCAUUCCGCCUGGGGAGUACGGCCGCAAGGCUGAAACUCAAAGGAAUUGACGGGGGCCCGCACAAGCGGUGGAGCAUGUGGUUUAAUUCGAAGCUACGCGAAGAACCUUACCAGGUCUUGACAUACUAUGCAAAUCUAAGAGAUUAGACGUUCCCUUCGGGGACAUGGAUACAGGUGGUGCAUGGUUGUCGUCAGCUCGUGUCGUGAGAUGUUGGGUUAAGUCCCGCAACGAGCGCAACCCUUAUUAUCAGUUGCCAGCAUUAAGUUGGGCACUCUGGUGAGACUGCCGGUGACAAACCGGAGGAAGGUGGGGAUGACGUCAAAUCAUCAUGCCCCUUAUGACCUGGGCUACACACGUGCUACAAUGGAUGGUACAACGAGUUGCGAACUCGCGAGAGUAAGCUAAUCUCUUAAAGCCAUUCUCAGUUCGGAUUGUAGGCUGCAACUCGCCUACAUGAAGUCGGAAUCGCUAGUAAUCGCGGAUCAGCAUGCCGCGGUGAAUACGUUCCCGGGCCUUGUACACACCGCCCGUCACACCAUGAGAGUUUGUAACACCCAAAGUCGGUGG